GGUUGACGCCUGCGUACUGUCAGAGGGCGCAGGUUUUAGGGGGAACGGGUGCCCGGAAUAAGAAAAGGAGUUGCAUUAAAACGGAUGUAUCAAUGCGCACUCAGCCUGCGCAACUUUUUUUUUACUCAUUUUAGUUUUUUAGACGACAAAGUUCGCUGUGUUUAUGUUGACUGUCAUAAAACUUCUCAAUACAAUAAAUUCUUUAAGCUCCGUAAUUUUAUUAUUUUUUUUCGCGGUUGUAUUAUUGUUCUCAUCAAAAUACUGAAGUUUAGGAUAAUUUGCAGUUUUGUUUGUGUUUACAAUUUUAAAAUGAUAUUGAUAAUCUAGGGUGCUCUGUUUUUUCUAUUAAUUAUUAAUGAAAGUAUACAUGGAACGUAAAUCACUUUACAUGUGAAGGAACAAUUGACAGUUGGGUUCAGCUCUAUUGUUCUAUCAUACUAGAUACCUCAAUCCUGAUUGACACGGAAAUUGACCAACAUCUGAUAAUCCUGAUUCAGAACAAUGAUUUGAAAUGGUUAUCUUCAUGUUAAUUCUAUAUCUGUAUACUCCGGCUGUCCAAUUUUAAAACACAGUUACUGUAAAAUUUUUAUA